UGGUGUCGAUGGCGGUGGGGGUACACCCGUUCCCAUCCCGAACACGGCAGUUAAGCCCACAUAGCGUCGAAAAUACUUGGCUGGAAGCGGCCUGGGAAAAUAGACAGAUGC
rnacentral:rRNA from 1 species